rnacentral:rRNA from 1 species
AAUGAACGUUAGCGGCGUGGAUUAGGCAUGCAAGUCGAGCGAGAACCAAGGUAGCUUGCUACCGAGGGGACAGCGGCGCAAGGGAGAGUAACGCGUAGAUACGUACCCUGUGGACCGGGAUAGAGGCGGGAAACUGCCAGUAAUACCGGAUAACGUCCCAGGACCAAAGGUGAGAUUCCGCCUCAGGAUCGGUCUGCGUCCUAUUAGCUUGUUGGUGGGGUAACGGCCUACCAAGGCCAAGAUGGGUACCGGGUGUGAGAGCAUGAUCCGGCUCACUGGGACUGAGACACUGCCCAGACACCUACGGGUGGCUGCAGUCGAGAAUCUUCCGCAAUGGGCGAAAGCCUGACGGAGCGACGCCGCGUGCGGGAUGAAGGCCUUCGGGUUGUAAACCGCUGUCAGUUGGGAGGAAAUCAUGGGGGGUUCUCCCCUCAUGUUGACCAAUCUUCAGAGGAAGCGCAGGCUAAGUUCG